rnacentral:miRNA from 1 species
GUGACCGGGCAGAUGACCCAAGUUCAGAUCCUUGGAACCUAUAUAAAGCCAGAUACAAAAGCAGGUGUCUGCAAUGCUGGGAUUCUUGAAGCCAAA